ensembl:lncRNA
AGAAAGCGGGCGGUAGAGAGAGGCGGAAGGUUUUCGGGCCGCCUUCGUCUCAGCAGUGUGCCUACAGCGAGCAUCUCGAUGUCACGUGUAUCGUUUUCUGUCUCGGGUUUUGAGGCAUACGCACGCUAAAAGCCCUGUUAGAAAUAAUUGAUGACGGGAUGAAAAUCUCACGAAUGUUCUAUUUGCUUACCCGUUGCAAUUACACGGGAAGGAGCAGGGCUCCCUGCUGCAGCCUGAAUUAGCUGCUGCCCAAUCAGCGAGUGGCAGCACCUGCAGCUCUUGGGGCUGCAGCCUCCAGUCCCAUCAGAGGGCUCGGUGCCGGACACCUGCGUGCCCAACUGCUGAUGUGGCAAGGCCAUGAGGUGGGGAGGGAUGUGCUGUGUUCUGAUGGCUGUGCUGAGGGUCCCUUCCCCCAGCAGCCAAGCCUUGCUGCCCAUCAGCAUUCUCUCCUUGCUCUUGUUCCAAAGGCUCUUUGCAGACCCUUCGGCGGCGGCAGCAUUGGGUUUCCCUGCACCCCAAGCUCUGCGCCAACAGAUGUCACAGGUGGCACUAGGUUGGUGAGAGCUGGGACGUGGGGACGUGGAAGAAGUGAGAGAGAAGCUGCCAAAGCUCUUCCCCAUGCGGUGCUGCUUUAGUACUGAUUACUGUUAAGAAGCACUGCAACCAAAGGCACUUUUCACGCUGCCUCACCGCAGUAAAACUUCCCUCCCCCAGGAGCUCCGUGCCCCAGAGUGCUUCUUGCAGCCCAGAUCACUGCAUAUGGCAGGAGUGACCGAGGCAGGAAAUGGCUCUGGGACCCGGGUGGUUUCCUGCAGAGGAGGUCUGUGCUGCUGGGUUCCUGCAGUGCAGCCCCAAUGCCCCUUUGCAUGCAGUACAGGGAGAGGUGCGCCGCCAGCAGCGGUGUUCGCCUCGCUAGGGGAGAAGUGGGGCUGGAGGGCCUCACAUUGAAUGUGGGCUUACAAGAGGAAUCUGUUGAAUGACAAGUGAGGUUCUCCUUCAUGUAUCUCGUGAUUUCCUUUAUACGAGCUGCGCUCAAAUGGGAAGUAACCAUCUAUGGGAAUCAUUUGUAAAAGGCUCAAAACUCCAGCCUACAUAGCCCUGAGUUUCAGAAACACCUCUCCCAGCUGGGCAUGCGAGCACCCAAGGAGCAGAGCAAAGCCAAGCACAGCCCACACCGCCCAACCGCUCCUCUGCACAGGGCUCCGUUUGGCUGCAAAACUGGGCAAGGCCAGCUGGGGACAGGCCCUGGUGCCAGGAGGUGAGUGGAGGACAGCGCGGGUGGAGCGCAACGGGGACGCCUUGCAGAGGGGACGUGCUGCUGGCUGUGCCCCUGGGGUCCAAUGGGAUCCUGGGGGACGAAGUACAGCUGUUGACGUGGCUGCGUGGUGGUGUUUGGAUGCUCCCUCUGCUCCUGCCUGCUCUGGGCUUUUGCACAGCCCCAGCACUUCUCUGUGCUGGUUGUUGCUUUUCCCCUAUAGAAUGGAGAGCCCCCAGGGGUUGGCAAAGGAGGACAAGAUGUCUCUCUGCUUUGUUCUGCCUCCUCAGAAGUCGAUCAGGUGGGGAUGGAGCGUGUCCUGCCCAGGUGGUGUGAAGAGGAUGCAGUGCUCGCUGCGUGCACGCUCCCUUCUCUGGUUCUUUGCAGAGCAACGUGCAGUUUCACUAUCAAUUGGUUGUGACUUCCCUCUAAAUCAAAACCUGAGUUUUGCAAGCAGGAGGGCUGGCAGAGCUCAAGGCCCGCUGGUUCUUCUAACUGAAGACGUGUUGGCCACGGUUUGCAGCUCUCAGCCCUCUGCCAGGGCAGAUAGGCCCUCCUCCAACCGCUGCCCUCCAGCCCCAGCCCAGAAGGAGCCAACAUCCCCAAGCAAUGACGCUCUCUGUCCCGUGAUACGGCCAGCCGUGCCUGACAAGCUGGUUUUUGCUCUCUCCACCCCUCAUAAUCUCAGGCACCAGAAAUUUCCUGACGUUCCUCAAAGAGGGGCAGGCAGCUGAGGCCGUUGCAAGAGGAGGAGUCCCGCAAGCCUUCCCUCUAUGGGGCUGAGCGUGCUGACCCCAACCACGCUCCCACGCCAGCGUCAGCCCCGGGGAUAACAGAGCCUAGCGAUGCUGCACCGUGCCACAAACCCCCGGGUGGAAUGGACAUCACAGCUGCCCCAGGGCUCGGCGUGCUGCAGCUCUUAGCCCACAGCAGAGACAGGGAUGGAGCUGCUCCAGCAUAGGCUCUGCUGGUCCAGCCUGCUUUUGCAGCCUGCUCUUCUCCAAAGCUGCAUCCCUGAAGAUGCUGAAGUCAGGCUGUUAUUGCAGAGGAAACCUGUGGAGAGAGACACGUGGGGUUUGAGGAUUAGCUGCUGAAACAGAUGGGAAUUUCCCGGAGCAAGGAGCUGAGGAGGGCAGGGAGGGCUCCUAUGCAGCGGGGCUGCUGCCAGCCACGUGGGCUGUGUGAGGACCCUGGGAUGCCCACUGCCUCCCCACAGCACUGCUGCUGACUCACAUCUCCGCGGGGAGCGGCACACGGCAGCUGUGCGCCCACCCCCUGCACUGCGCACCAGAGCUGGGCACCGGCAUGCUGCAGGGCUGGCAGCCCGUCCUGUUUGGGGACGGUGUCUCCGUGGGGUCCCAGAAGCACUGUCUCUCAUAGAGGCUGCUCGUUGCACACUGCUUUGUGCCCCGAUGCCGCCUGGUGCAUCUCCCACAAGCAGUUCGUGCAGCACUGGCACCGGGAGGCUGUCUGCCUGCAGGGCCCGACGGGAGCUGUGCCGUAUGCUCCGUGUCCCUCCUGCUUACUCUCUCCCUCCAGCUCUCGCACUGCACUUGCAGCAUGUGUCAUAUCCCAUUGAUGUCACCCGCCGUCCCCUGCCUCGUCCCUGCCUGCAGGGCUGCCUGUGCCAGUGGCUGCAAUAAGGGUACCCUGGGGCUCCGCAUCCCCCUGCGUUGGUCCCAGGGCAUAGGCAAUGCCAGCUGGGGGCUGAGCCCCGCAGCCAGGCCUGAACACUGCAAGCAGCGGUUCUGCACAUAGCAACAGAGAGAAUGCAGCACGAUCACAGCUCACGCUCCUUCCUGCCGCUUGGAAGUGUCUAGAGAGCUGAAAAAGCUGCAAGACGUUCAUGCUGCCAUCCUUCUCCCUGCUAGCUGCUUCAUGCUCUGGCUGUGUUUUGAGCCCCCUUUCUGGGGGGGCACAGCACUUCCCCAGACCAAUGGAUACCGAUUUGGCGUGAUGAGGGCUGCAGACAUCCCGCAGCGUGCUGCCCGCCGCGCAGGGCUGGCUGACUCAUCGCCAUGCAGCAUGCAAUUACAAAGGCAAGUGCAGGCCCCUACUGCUUUGCACAGGUAUCUGUGUCAGCCGGGGCUAUUUCCAUCUCUCCCGUGCACUCUCAGCUCAUUAGGAGGGGAAGGAACACAGCCACACAGCUCACCUGCCUGCCACAGGACUGGGCAUAAUAUUCCAGUGAGCAGAGAGCCAGAAGGGGAAUUACAACCAAACACAAUGGGGGGAGGAGGCAGCAGGGUGCAUUGCCCACACAUCCCACAUACUCACAGCUGCACACGCAGACCGAGCGGGGGUGUGGAGGUGCACCGUGGUGCAGAGCACCAUUGCCAUGAACUCAGAGGUUCCUGGCCGGAAUCCAAGCGAGGGCUGCAGCCCUCCAUCUGCAAGCACCAUUUGCUACAGGGGUUUAGCAACCGGGGCUGUCACAACUGCAGCAGCUGCAGAACCCUCGGCCAUGAGUGGGAGCAGCUCUGCCGUUGCGUCACUGCUUUGUGCAGUGUAGCACAGGGGAUGGAAUGCCCGGCUGCAGUGUGAGGCAGCGUGUGCUGAGCAAAGCAGUGCCCCAUCCUGUUCUCAUACAAGUGCACUUCUCGUGUGUACUUGUUAUUUUCUAACUAUUUGGUAAUGUUCAUUUCAUUUACUGCACGCAUAAGUGAGCAAAUAUGACAUAUACAAAUGUCGGGAAGUAAUUCAGUUUGUUAAGCUUCUUCAUUAAAAGAACUCUGUAUUAUUAAAGUAUCUACACUGUCAUGGGCUGGUAUCCCAUUAGCAGCCUUAAUAAGAAAUGCUGUUUAUCCAUUCAGAACCAGAUCUCUGGGGCAUGCAUUUGGCAGCGUGCGUUGAGUCAGUGGUGGCAACCGGCAGCAUCUCUGUGUGCCUGGUCACAGGACAGCGUUUCCCACCCUGAGCUCAUGACCAGGUCAAAAACUUCAC